rnacentral:lncRNA from 1 species
CAUGUUCCACAAAUAUAUGUAUCAUCCCAUCUGCUGGAAAGUUUGAAAUCAUCUCUAACAUGUCUUGAUAUCUAAAGAUAAAUUUCAAACCAUUAUUUAAAUCUUUUUCUAGCUUGACAUAGUAAAAUUGAGAGAAGUUAGAAACCCCAGUAUCUUCUAACAUUUCAUCCAGCUCCAAAAUAGAGACUCUAUCAGGAUCGACAUUAUCAUAUAUAGAAAUUUGCCCC